GCGAUUAUGGUGGAAUUGGUAGACACGCUAUCUUGAGGGGGUAGUGCCAGUAGGUGUGCGAGUUCAAAUCUCGCUAAUCGCACCA
rnacentral:tRNA from 1 species